UACGUAGGGGGCAAGCGUUGUCCGGAAUUAUUGGGCGUAAAGAGCGUGUAGGCGGUCCGGUAAGUCGGCUGUGAAAGUCCAGGGCUCAACCCUGGGAUGCCGGUCGAUACUGCAGUGCUAGAGUGUGGAAGGGGCAAUCGGAAUUCUUGGUGUAGCGGUGAAAUGCGUAGAUAUCAAGAGGAACACCUGAGGUGAAGACGGGUUGCUGGGCCAACACUGACGCUGAGGCGCGAAAGCCAGGGGAGCAAACGGG
rnacentral:rRNA from 1 species